GUGUCCGGUGAGGGAGGGGAGAAGGCUGGCACGAAGUUGUGUUUCCCGAGUGCACGGGCGCGUGCGGGGCUCGGGAGGAGUUGUGCGGCUCCUCGCUGGAGUCCGAGUGUCCCCCGCCGUUCCCUGUGCUGCUCGCGAGCGCCACUUUGGGGGAAGAGCAGCCUCUUGCCCCCGCGGCGAGGCUGGGGAGCCGGGCUUACUCAGCGCUAACGGGGACGAAGGCACUGAUUUGCGUCCUUUCGGAGUAGCGUUUACUGUGCCCGCACUGUUUGUAGAGACAGUUUUAGGGGUCUAGAAUAACAGAACAAGUUGGAAAAAAAAAUGUCCGAGACAACUUCUAUUGUAAAGAAAUCUAGCAGACAAUGGAUUGCAAGUGAGAACAGGUUUUUCCCCUCUUUUCUGCUGGUUGAGACCCAGAACCACAGAGUUUCUUUUGUCUCGCUCAGUUUUUGUUUUCAAAAAGAAAGGAACUCCCCACACGUGCAAAAAAUGCGGUUGCAAAUUGGGUGCACGAGAAGCUGGACGCGCUUAGGAUUUAGGACUAGAGAGCAUGUGUGUUCUUGAUGGAUACUGUAGUUUCUUGAUUUAUCAUUUUUCUCUUUUCUUUCUUUCCUUUAGGAAAAGCCUAAAGAUUAGGUUGUAAGAAAAACAGAAGCCAUGUUUCGAAGACCUGUGUUACAGGUAGUCACUUUUCUACAUUAGUGAGUGCUCCAACCGUGUUUCCAUAGUCUAUAGCCAUGUUUUGUUUUGUUGCUUUUCGAUUUUGCAUACAUAAGCACGAGAUUCUUACGCCUAUCCAGCGUGUUCUAUGUGUUUAUUUGAUGUGGGAGAUUCAGAAGGGAUUUUGUGUGUGUGUGUGUUUAUGUGUGUGUGAAGCUCAUAAUGUUUACUGAAUCAAAAAUGAUUUUUAAAGUGUAUUCGCAUAUGUAGUACACCUCAUGAAUUUAAUUUAGUAAAUAUUUGUUACCAGUGCUUAGAUCAGAGUAUUCAUUUAAUUAUGUAAGUUAUUAUUAUCAUUUUUGUUUUGCUGUUUUUGAGACAGCCACUCAUAGUUAAGACUAUCUUGAGACUCACUGUUAGGCUGAGAUGACCAAGAACCUUCCUCCUCCUGCUUCUACUUUGUCACCGAUGGUAUUUCAGGCCUGCCCCAUCGCACCUGAUUUCUUCUAACCUUGUCCCAUAUGGCUCUGGUCUUUUAUGACCUUCUGGCCCCUCUCCUCCCCACUCCCAUCUUGCUAUCCAGAGAGCAGAGCUCACUUCUUGCCACAAAUUCAUGACCAUUCUGCAAUCUAGUCGGGUGUCCUCUACUCUAGCCAGCCUUAAGCAGGCCUUAAUUACCAUUUUUCCUCAGUGUGGCACGUGGGUACCAAGUCUUGUAAAUUCUCCUAAUGUAAAAUCUAUUACUUUUCUUCUCCUCUUAAGACUAAUGAGUCAAAUUCGUUAUAAAAGUCUGUUGUCUUCCCCAUCCUACUCUUAAGUUGGUCUAUCCUUAGCUCCUUACUGUAAUCCACACAUACUCUGAGCCUUUUAAAAUUGAAGUUAUACUAUAGUAUCUUUUUAAACCAAAUGGGAAGUAAGUUUGCAUUUUGAGGGUAUUGAAAUAAUCCUCUCCCUAUUUCUUCUUUUCUACUAGAUUAUGUGUAUGUUCCUAAGAUGAGGCAUAUUGUUAUUUUAUAACAUUUAAUGAACACUGGCUCUUCUGAAUCUGUCACAUUAGUAUUUUCUGUGAUCGUGACAAAGGAACUGAGUAGCAUUUUGGUCCUGUAUCGUGUAACAUCUUAUUCUUAUAUUUAUUCUUAGUGAUAGUAUAUAGCUAAAAUCACUCCAGGAAAAGGUGUUCAUUUGAGUGGUAUGGAGAGAGAAGGCCGGUAUUAAAAGACCAGGGAAGGAAAGAGGUCCCAAUUGGAAUUUUUAAAAAGCUAGGUUUAGAAAUCAUAAUGUGGUAACCUGUCACCUCAGAGUUGUAGCCUGUCUCUGCCUUCAUUUGCAUGGAGAAGUUGCAUAACUGGAAAUUACGAACACAGCAGCUCUCACGGACCAGUUGAAAUGACCCUUCUUAUAUGGUAGAAUGUCCUUGAAAGUGAGUGUGAGAAGUUCUAACUCUCUAACUCACUAACAGUGAGAGUGACAGACAAAAACAGCAUCACCCUCAGCCACUGCCUGAAGCCUGCAGUGCCCGCAGGUCCUAAAAGAAUUCUUUGGCCUGCCUGCCAGUCCCUUUUUUUUUCCCGUGUGGGGGAUCCCUGCCUGCUAUAUUAACAAUGCUGCCACGUGCGAAAUGUUUCUCUCUUAGAACAUGUCUAGCUCUCUGAACUCUCUUGUGUGUAGUGAUGUAGACUCUUCUUACCUGCGUGGUAACCAUAGAACAGAAUGCCUGUAAGACAGCAGAGGGCAAAUUGGAAAAACAAGCUUGGUGCCACACAGCCCGGAGUUGUAAGGCAUAAAUCACCACUGAAUUCCUAGUUUCCUGGACAAGUGGUGACUCUCUGGGCUUAACUUUCCUUGGAACUAUGGUAAGGGUAAUUUGACUUUGUGUCUACAAAAGUUAAGGAUUAAAUGGUAAAAGUGUAAUUUGUUUAGUGUGUUAAGAGCUGCAUUCUUCUUCACUAAUUAUGAUUUCAUUGCCAUACCUUUGAACCAUAUUAUUUGUACUCCUUUUCUGUGAUCUCCUCAAGGAAUGAGGUUUCCACUGCGCCAAGCUCACUAAGAAGCUGCUGACCUUCUGUAGCAGCCUCACGAAAUCAGUGCUCUUCAUUGUCAGUGCUCACUCUUAGAUGGAACAUUCUAGGCCAAACAUUUGAGAUGUCCAUUUCCUUAUGGUUUUUGAACAACCAAUC
rnacentral:lncRNA from 1 species